AUACGGAGGGUGCAAGCGUUAAUCGGAAUUACUGGGCGUAAAGCGUACGUAGGCGGUUGGUUAAGUUAGAUGUGAAAGCCCCGGGCUUAACCUGGGAACUGCAUUUAAAACUGGCGAACUCGAGUUGAGUAGAGGGGAGUGGAAUUUCAGGUGUAGCGGUGAAAUGCGUAGAGAUCUGAAGGAACACCAGUGGCGAAGGCGACUCCCUGGACUCGAACUGACGCUGAGGUACGAAAGCGUGGGUAGCAAACGGGAUUAGAAACCCCAGUAGUCC
rnacentral:rRNA from 1 species